ensembl:lncRNA
AUUACAAAUUACAAAUGCAAACUAAAGUGAAUUUAGGCAGAUUAAUCAGAUUGAUUUAGGCAGAUUAAUCAGUUUGUUUUUCUGCUCCAGUUUUCAAACUGCCUCAUCUUUGUUCUGUGACGAAAAAAAAAAACCUGUUAUAUUUGCUCUGUCACAACUACAUGUGGAGUAGAGAGUCUUGUCAACGUUUUCCAAAAUCAAGUGAGUAGAAAUGCUUGGAGAAAUAUUUUCAGGUCUCAAGGGGUGUGCUGAGAGACGCAGGGGAUUCCAUCCAACUUGGUGACAGUACCCUGAUCCAAUGGCCUAAUUACGAGCGUUAAUCAUCAGGCUAAGUUUGAGGCACCUUUCACAAAGACUGUAGCGCCUCCUCAGUCUUCCAAGUCAAGAUAACAGAGUCCAAACUUUGAAAACCAUCCAGUUACCAUGGAGACGGUCCUGCUCCCGGACCAGUGGAGUAUGCCCAUCCUCAAGCCUCCAGACACCGCCGCGGGCCGCUGCCCUCAAAGAACCCACCACAGGCUGACAGGAAAUACUGUGCCAUGCACUUUCUUCCUCAUACUGUUUCAUCACCCUCCUAAAACUUGGAGGUUGGUAUGAUUAUUUUCCACAUCCUACAAGGGAAGACACUAAGACUAACUAGUUAAAUAUUCUGUCCCAAAUCAGUCAGUACGAGACAGGGCGGGGCUCGAGCCCUGGAAUCUCGAACCCCUGGUUCCUGGGGCGCCCCUCGGACGCGGGGUCCCAGGCGUGGGCUCUGCUCCGCUUGCCUCGCCACACGAAGGCCCUUCCACCCCGUCACGGACUCCAGGCUUCUUUGCGGGCCGGGACCGAGGGCCCGCGCCUGUGGUCGGGUCGCAAGACCCCGGCCGCCGCCAUCCCGGGCCGAGGCCGCCGCCCCGCCCCCGCUGGCUGCAGGCCCGGCGCCCGCCCCCCCGGGGUUUUCGCUUUCGCUUUCCCGCCGAUGUCGUUGAGGGAAACAGCGCAGCGGGGCCAGCUCAGGCGCAGCUGCCGUUCCCGGCGGGCGAGGGGCGCAGAGGGCGGCGGCGGCGGCGGCGGCGGCGGCCGAGGAGACCGGGCUGGGCCCGGCGCGCGGCGAGGUGCCAGAGUUUGCAGCCUGUUGGGGAAAACCAACAUCAAGGACCAGUGCUUUGAAUGGACUACAGCCCAAUGGGUCUGUCCCAGUGCUGCUCCUUUACUGAGACAGCACUGCGGAGUGCCACCCUGCUUGCUAUGCACAGCUGCUCUGUGGAUUGAAGAUGAAGAUUCGGUGGAGUGAAGGACUGGAGGACUCCUGUGACAUUUUACUGCAGGCAGGGAAGCCCUACCUGCGGAGCUCCCAGGCACUUGGGAAGACUGGUUGAUUGGAUGAUGAAUCCUGGUUGUAGUCCCUGUGAUGAACACCUCUGCUGUCAGACAUCACUGGCUGCCUUCUGUGUGCUCAACUUAGAACCGAGCCCAUUCUUCAGCGGCCGGAGGAUAUCCUGUGGAGCAGUGCAGCGCCCGGCCUCCCAUCCUGUGUGAACUGCAAGGCAGCGGCUGUGGCCCUGAGGCCCUCUUCUCUCCCAGGCCAGGCUGCGCCUCCUGCUCACAGUUCUACUUUUCCUAAGCCAAACUGGAGGCCAGGGCACCGAGAACGUCGAGAUGGCAUAUUUCCAGAGUGUGGAGGAGACAGACUGUACCGCAGGAGCCUGGAGCCAGGCCCCAAAGGUUCUGCUGGCUGUCCCAGGGGCCUGCCCUUACGACAGCCCACCCGGGACAUCUCGGAGCUUGUAUCUCUGCUCAUCAGAAGUUGGAGGAGUGGGUUCGAGGGGGCAGCUGUUUCCUAUAAAAAUGUCCAGUAGAGGUAAUGUCCUUGGGACAAACUCUUUUUUUUUCUAUACUGGGGAUGGAACAUACAGCCUUCACUCUGAACUGUAUCCUCAGCUCCCUUUAAAAAAAAAAAUUAUUUUGAGAAAGGGUUUUGAUAAGUGCUAAAUUGCCCAGGGUGGGCUCCAACUUGCAGUGCUGGCCUCCCAAAGUACAGGGAUUACUGCUGGACACGAUGCCCGGUUGGUCAUCCUUUUUUUUGGGGGGGAGGGUACCGGGGAUUGUACUCCAGACCUUGUGCUUUCGAGGCAGGCGCCGGAACCACUGAGCUAAAUCCCCGGCCCUGGUUGGUCAUCCUUUUUGACACCCAAGCUAAGGAGGCUCAUUCUGUGCCUGAGGCUCCAGUGUCUCGCAUUCUGCCCGCUGGAAUACGGUCUCUCAGAGGGGCUGUGGAGCCUCGUGUGGUCGACUCCAACCAAGGUGCAGGCAUUUGGGGAGCGUCGUCCCCAGGUAAUUCCUGUGUGUCCAUUUCCUGUUACUGAGACAAAUUACUAUAAACUUGGUGUCUUAGAAAAACACACAUCUAUUUUCUUAAAGUUCUGAGGGCCAGAAAUCCAAAAUAAGUCUCAGUGGGCUAAACUCAAGGUGUCAGCGGGAAUGUGUUAAUCUCCACCGAGGCUCUGUGCCUGUCCCAGGGUCAAGAGGCUCCACGCGUUCUGCCCUGUGGCUCCUUCCUCUGACUUCAAGUCCAGCAGUGGCUGGUCAGGACUUCCACAUAAUGCCAUCUCUCAGAUUCUACCUCUCCUGCCUCCCUCUUCCCUGUUUAAGGAGCCCAGUGAUUACAUUGGGCCCCCCAGACAAUUUCUCUGUUUCCCACUUCCAGCAACCUUAAUUCUCCAUUGCCACGUAUCAUGGCGCAUCCACAGGUCCCACCCACUUGGACGUGGACAUCUUUAUUCCACCAUGGACCGUUAUUUUGCACACCCAGCCAACCUCUCCUGUGGCUUUUCCAAGGGUCUCAUCCUCAGGCAUAGACAGUGGGCUGGGCCAGACCAGUCGGGAUGUGCCCACCACUGGCAGAGAGGUCCUUUCUGCCCAGACACCCUCCCUGCUUUAGCUCACCUCCUCUUCUCUCAUCCUCUGCUCCCCCUCUGGCGUAGAGGGAAGCUGGUGAGGCUAGAUGCGCCGCGGGAGCCCAGGGAGCUGAGCCCUCCCCGGCCAGACAGCCUGUCUUCCAGGGGCUGGAGCCAGAGCCCAGCCUUUGCGGUCGCGGACUCACAGUCUGAGGGCAGUUGCAGGGUCGGAGGGGCAGGCAGGCACAUAUCGGAGACACACGUAUCCCCUGUGCCUCUCGGCCUCCCUUCCUCAGGUGACAACAGCCUGUCUACCCUCCGGCACUCGGUGGUCCUUUUUGGGGCUGGGACCUUGAGAGGCUCCCAAGGAGGGGAGGCCCCCAUCAAAUCUGUCCCUGGGUACUGGUGAGGACCUGGGGGAUCCAGGACCCCAGCAAGAGGUCUCAUCAGCACAGCAGAGCAAAGCAGGAGGAGCUGGACAGGGCCUUCGGUCUUCAAGUAUGGUGACCAGUUGGGCUUGGUUUGCCUAAGACUUUCCCACUUUGAGCAGUGGGGGUCCAAGCCCUGGAACUCGGUCAGAGCAAACCGAGACAGCUGGUCACCCUGUCUCCAGGGCCUUUAUCACAUUCUCUUCCGCUCUGGGUCAUCUCCGCUGCUACACAGCCAGCUCUUUGGACUCCUGGAUACUAGAAAGACCUGGGGGCUGAGGAAGGACCCCAGGCCCACGCCAGAAAGGAGCAGGCUCUUGCCCCAGCAAGCCCGGCAGAGGAGCCAUCAACAGUGAAGACCAAGCUGGUGUCUGCGGGGCACAGAGCUCCCAGGAGCAGUGUGCGUAAGACGGUGAAAAGGAAACCUCUAAACACUUAGCAGCCUGGUCACUUCUGAGUGGUGGAUUGCAGGUGGCUUUCAUAAAUACUUUGAGUUCCCCCUCUGUAUUUCUUCCUCUCUGUACAAGUAAGCCAUGUUCUUUCUGUAUGUUUUUAAUAAAAGAAAGCCAGUGGUGACUCAGCCAUCCAUCUCCAGUCCUGCUGAGGGACACGAGCAGUUGUGCUGGCACCUGUGACCUUGGCUGUGGGCUGGUCAUGGCCCCAUUCUGCCCGAAGCUCUACUGCAAGGGCAGGGAAGCUACUCCUCCGUGUCCUUCGGCCCCACAGUGCACCCAGGGUCCAGCCUGGCUUGUUCCCUGAGUGAAGACUCAAAAGCCUGAUGUGCUCUCUCUUGGCAGAGCAGGGGUGCAGGUGCUGAGGACACACAGGAUGUGGCUGGCCAUUGGGAGAUGCUCUUGAGCACCACUCUGGACUGAGAAUGAUGGGGAGAGGAGCUCUUGCCUCCAGGCAGCUGGCACCUGGUUGGAGAGCUCGGGUUACCCCACAGACCAUGUGGCGCAUGGUGGACUGGAUGAGGCCUUGCCUGUGAGGAUUGUCCGAGGUCGCAUAGGGGAGACCCAGGAGCCUCACUGCACUUGUCUUAGAAUGGCCAGAGGCCAAAACAGGUUUUCUUGAGUGACCUGAGGCAGCCCCCCAAGCUCGGGGUAAAUGGUCUCCCCCUCCCAGAACUCGCUGCUGGACACUUUGUGACAGAAGAGUGGCAAGAACAGUCAGCAAGAUGUUCCACUCUUAGACAGCUGGGCACCCUUGGGCCCUCCUCCUUGCCCUCUCCCCUCGUAUUCUUUGGGAGUGCCAGGCUCUAGACUUCCUCUGGCUGCCUCCGUCUGGUCUCCUGAUACCAAGCAGUUCUCUCCACCCCAAGCCCAGCAAGAGCACUUGGAAGGGAGCCCUGGGUCUCCAGUAGAGGCAGCCACCCCUCCACCUCCUACAUACAGGGCCAGCAUUCCCCACCCUAGUCCACCCUAGUCCACCAUUGUCCUGGUGAGGCCAACAUGUGACCUUGUUCAUUGUUUUGGAAAAGUAGUAAGUGUUCUGGCCUAAUGAUCCCUCCCUAUUGAACCCAGAACCCAAGCACAACUCCAUGUUCACACAACUCCCUUGACCCAGGAAGUCAGCUUUCUCAGAGAAGCCUGGCAUGUGCUUCCCCCUCCUUGCCACACCCUCGCCCCUAAGCCAAGAUCCUGCUCUAUCCCUUCUCCCUAAGCAAAGCUGCAGCUGAGUGUUUUUACUACUUUCUUUUUUUUUUUUGGUGCUGGGGAUCGAACUUGGGUCCUUGCGCUUGCACAGCAAGUGGCAAAACCACUGAGUUAAAUCCCCAGCCCCUAAACUGAGUGUUUUUAAGUGCUAGGGAAGACCUUGCUAGUCCUGCCUCAAUUCUGGGCAGAUUUGGGAAUCUGAACGUGUGAGGGAAAAGUGAUAGCAGAAUUGGACACUCCCCACAUCCAUGUGGUUUUUAAGGGAAAGAGGACAGUAGGAACGGAGACAGGGAUUCAGGCCAGUUCAGGAUUCGGCCACACAAAGUAGUGAGGGCCCCAACCUGGCGACCUCUUGGCUGGCUAUGGAGGCUGGGCAGGCCUCCCCUGAAGGGAAGGUAGUAGUGAGCUCUGGUGUCUACCUGGUGUGGCAACUAGCAUCUGCCUUGGGUGCUGCAGUUUCUCAGGAAUUAGACCCACUAGAGGCACAGGGCCUGAGCCCGGCCCAAGGCUAGGAGUUAGGAUGCACCUCUGAGUGGUCCAGACCUCUGAGGGACCCCAGAGGCCAAAACCGUCUGGCCUAGGGCAGAAGAGCUGGCUUCGCAGACAGAAUUGUGUCUAAAAAGUCCCCUUUGACCCCUAGAGCUGAGACCUACCAGGCCAGAGUCCCCUAGAGAAAACGGACUGUGUAGCUAAGCUGCUCCCUGCUCUGAGGCCAAGUAUCAAGCCUGUCAGGUCACAGCCCUGGCCUUGGCCUUCAGAACUGCAUGCAGGUGGCCUCCCGGGUAGAGGUGGGGAAUCACUUCUCUUGGGGCCCAAGCCAAACUCCACCACACUGGGGCCCUGGGGCCUGUGGCGGCAGAGCCAUAUUGUCUGAAGUACCAGGAGGGGCCAGGGGCGCUGAUGCCAAGGCGACACAGCAGCUGAACCUUUGCUGUCUUCCGUCAAGGUCUCCAGAUGCCUUCUUGUCAUAGGUUCCUAGUGCCCUGUCCCUUGCCGGCACUCCCCAAAUUCCCCCCCAGGCUUCAGUUUCUUCCUUUGUAGGCAGCCUGAUCUUGUAGAACCCACCUGUGUUCUGGGCAUGGACAGGUGUGGGUUGGAAUCCAGCUGAGUCACCCGUCGUGGGCAAGCCCCUUGUGCGUGCUGAGCAUGGUUUCCUGGUCUGUGAAUGAGGCUGGGGGUGGGGAGCUGUGCCUGAGUGACAGUGCAAAGGGGAGCUUGGCACAGUCCCUGGUCCCAAGGGAACACUCGGGUCUGUUUCAUUAUCCAAGCAGAUCUGAGGUCUGCUCUAGUUCUGCUCCUUUCCAAGCUGCAGACUGCACUGAGCCCGCAGAAGUGGGGGCUUCUUCUGCAACUGCCCCCCCACCACCAGAAAAGCAGCAGAAAUGGACCUUUGGGAGCCGCCUGGAGCCAGGAAAACCACAGCCAGCCAGCUAGGUCUUCCUCAGACUCGACCCCACAAGGGAGCUCUGGCCGGCGAAGCCGCCUUCCACCCUGCCACGUACCUUCACCUCUGGAAAAGGAGCACACCAGCGCCCCAGGCUCUGGUUUCUGUAAGAGCUGGUGAAAGUGGGGAGAGACCAGUGCUGAGUUCAGAUGGAUUUUACACAUCUUCCGUGUGGAGAGUGAGUGGUUGCCUCAGUUAAGACACAGCAUCACGUAGGUCAGACGAAAGUUCCUUGUUGGAUGCUUCAGCAGGGCUGUGUGGAGGAAACUCCGACCCCAUGCAAGAGUGGAGUUUUGGGUCUGGGCCAACAGUGAGAAAGACGGCCCACUGGUCGCAGAGAAUGACAACUUGGGCAUGACCCAGCUCCAUGGACUAGGUGGCAUCACUCCCAGAGAAAAGGGCUCCACCUGCAACCAAGCUCAAGGCUUUUCCCAGGAUUUCAGCUGGGCCCUGGGCAGACCCCACUGGAGGCUUCCAGAGACCGGGAGCAAGCUCUUAUGUGUGGAGGCAGGGUGACCACAACACCCUAUACACGUGCAUGGAGAGAUGCUGAAAGCUGAUACUCUAAGAAGGGAUGAUUUUCACAUUAGCCUUCAGCUUUCAUCCUACUGCAAGUAGCUGAAUAAAUAAACCAACCCGAUUAAAGUAACACCUUUGGAAUAAAACAAGGAAACUCCUCUGGCUGAUGAGAAAUGCCCUCCAGUGUCUGUAAACUUGGUUCAUCAUGGGUGUGCCUGAGACUAGCUGGUGUACCUGAAAUCCCCCUUUGAUACUUUACCCCAUUGCAAAGUGGCCCUCAAUGACCAUAAUGUCACAGUAAUCCCAACAAAGCUCAUCUUUCAAUGACCUCCUAGCUCCUUCAACCAAGAACUUCCAUUCUGAGUGCUUAGAUUGAAAAUCUUGGGAAUUACCUACCCUUAGGAAGCACUGACAAGUCCUGAAUGAUCUUAAACUUUUAGGCCCAAAUUUGGUUCAGAUUAUACUGAGGCUGAUCCUUUCCAGACUCUGUUUGCUAAUGAGAUAGUCCCAGCUGCCAUCACCUUUAGGUCUGACUUCUAGGCCUGGGCCGAGGUUCACAGUGAGAUGUGAUGCGACAGCUCCCUAUCCUGUUAGGUCGGUCCCUAUCACACAUGCUCUUCCCUGGAGCCCAGCUGCCUUGCAAUUUUGGGUGCAGAGUUUUAGGUUCCUUCUCUGGACAUUCCAAU